rnacentral:lncRNA from 1 species
GCAAACCACCACCACCAUGAAAACCUCUCACCAUCUCACAGUCCCACCGGGAUUGACCAGCGAAGAUUUCCUUCAGCUAAAGAGUGCCGUCACCGAAUUCCACACCUACGAUCUGUCAUCAGCCCAAUGUUCAUCCCUUCUGGCGCAAUACAUCCACGCGCCGGUCGACGUCGUCUGGUCGGUGAUACGACGGUUCGACAAGCCGCAAAUCUACAAGCACUUUAUCAAGAGCUGCACUAUGGAAGAAGGAUCUAAAAUGGUGGAGGGAUGCACACGUGACGUCAUCGUCAUAUCCGGAUUGCCGGCGGCGACCAGCACGGAGCGGUUAGAUUUGCUGGAUGAUGAGAGGCACGUUAUGGCGUUUACGAUCAUCGGCGGCGAACAUAGACUGAGAAAUUAUCGUGCUGUGACGACGUUGCACG